ACGAACGCUGGCGGCGUGCUUCACACCUGCCAGUCGAACGGAAAGACCCUGCUUUUGUGGGGUGCUCGAGUGGCGAACGGGUGAGUAACACGUGAGUAACCUGCCCUUGACUUUGGGAUAACUUCAGGAAACUGGGGCUAAUACCGGAUAGGAGCUCCUGCUGCAUGGUGGGGGUUGGAAAGUUUCGGCGGUUGGGGAUGGACUCGCGGCUUAUCAGCUUGUUGGUGGGGUAGUGGCUUACCAAGGCUUUGACGGGUAGCCGGCCUGAGAGGGUGACCGGCCACAUUGGGACUGAGAUACGGCCCAGACUCCUACGGGAGGCAGCAGUGGGGAAUAUUGCACAAUGGGCGGAAGCCUGAUGCAGCAACGCCGCGUGCGGGAUGACGGCCUUCGGGUUGUAAACCGCUUUCGCCUGUGACGAAGCGUGAGUGACGGUAAUGGGCAAAGAAGCACCGGCUAACUACGUG
rnacentral:rRNA from 1 species